rnacentral:tRNA from 1 species
GGGGUCGUAGCCCAAUCGGCAGAGGCAACGGUUUUAGGUACCGUACAGCGCGAGUUCGAAUCUCGUCGACCCCACCA